rnacentral:rRNA from 2 species
CCACGGCUAACUACGUGCCAGCAGCCGCGGUAAUACGUAGGUGGCAAGCGUUAUCCGGAUUUAUUGGGCGUAAAGCGAGCGCAGGCGGUUGCUUAAGUCUGAUGUGAAAGCCCUCGGCUUAACCGAAGAAGCGCAUCGGAAACCGGGAGACUUGAGUGCAGAAGAGGACAGUGGAACUCCAUGUGUAGCGGUGAAAUGCGUAGAUAUAUGGAAGAACACCAGUGGCGAAGGCGGCUGUCUGGUCUGUAACUGACGCUGAGGCUCGAAAGCAUGGGUAGCGAACAGGAUUAGAUACCCUGGUAGUCCAUGCCGUAAACGAUGAAUGCUAGGUGUUGGAGGGUUUCCGCCCUUCAGUGCCGGAGCUAACGCAUUAAGCAUUCCGCCUGGGGAGUACGACCGCAAGGUUGAAACUCAAAGGAAUUGACGGGGGCCCGCACAAGCGGUGGAGCAUGUGGUUUAAUUCGAAGCUACGCGAAGAACCUUACCAGGUCUUGACAUCUU